UACCAGCACCCCGAGUGGUCGGGACGAUUAUUGGGCCUAAAGCAUCCGUAGCCGGUUUUACAAGUCCUCCGUUAAAUCCAGCUGCUUAACAGAUGGGCUGCGGAGGAUACUAUAAGACUAGGAGGCAGGAGAGGCAAGCGGUACUCAGUGGGUAGGGGUAAAAUCCGUUGAUCCAUUGAAGACCACCAGUGGCGAAGGCGGCUUCCUGGACCGACACUGACGCUGAGGCGCGAAAGCUAGGGGAGCAAACGGG
rnacentral:rRNA from 1 species